rnacentral:rRNA from 1 species
CAGUAGCCACGGGAAUACGGAGGGAGCUAGCGUUGUUCGGAAUUACUGGGCGUAAAGCGCGCGUAGGUGGUUCGCCAAGUUGGAUGUGAAAUCCCCGGGCUCAACCUGGGAACUGCAUCCAAAACUGGCGAGCUAGAGUAUGGUAGAGGGUGGUGGAAUUUCCUGUGUAGCGGUGAAAUGCGUAGAUAUAGGAAGGAACAUCAGUGGCGAAGGCGACCACCUGGACUGAUACUGACACUGAGGUGCGAAAGCGUGGGGAGCAAACAGGAUUAGAUACCCCUGUAGUCCCUGUCUCUUAUAC